CAGGGGGUUCCUUUCCAGCAGUGACUGUGUCUGGGUGUGUCUCGGUCUUCACCUUGUCGUCCCCACUGCCACGCCACUCCUCUGAAGACCUCGGCAGGGGCUUUUCUAUGUUUAACUCCUGGCUUGUCGGACAGACUAGGUCUGAUACCAGCUCACCUUUUCUCUUCUCCAUUUCGGCAUCCUGGACAGCAAUGCUCCCACCUUCAGGAGGGCCACUCUUCAAAGACAGUAUGUCAUCCAGAGUAACCGUGUCUCCCCCAGCCUCCGCACUGUUCGAGGAUGCACUCCUCCUGAUGUUUGGGGAUGUGAUCUUCUGAACUAUAGCUUCCAGUUUCAACCCUCGGCCUUUCCUGGGGGGCAGUAUUUUGGUCUUAGCAGGACUUGUGAGGGUAACAGCAGGGCAGUUUCUACUGUCUGGACUUGGAAGGUCCUUGGAAGAUUCCCUCUUAGGGACAGACUUGACAUCCUGACUGUGAGAAAGAUGUGCGUAGGAAUUGAACGCUCUAUCAGCGCCUUCUUUCGGUGGGUGAAGGAGGCGCCCUUUAUCUUCAGUGUUGCUGUUCUUCACAUCUUGUGACUGCCUCUUGCUGGGAAUGGGAGAGAUAAAGGAACGCACCCGCCUCCGCAUGAUUAAGGGGUUUUGAGAAGAAUGAUCCUCUUGGCCUGGAAGCCUGAGCAUAACAUUACUGGGUUUGGAUGACUGUGCCGUGUCAGUGAGCCCAUGUCCGUCGGCCUCAUGGGGCGGCCCGUACCUCUUCUGAUUGGACAUUCCCGGAGGACCGCUGCUUUUGGCUGGAGAAGUUUGCCGGGAAAGAUCCCAACACGAUUCUUGUUGUAACUUCUGGGAGCCAUGCUUCAAUUCGAUGGUUUUGUUAGACAGACCAUCACUAGACAUGAGGCAGCGCCCCCCUUCCUGACCGCUGGGAUCAUGUGACUCUGCCGGGCAACAGACAAUGGCUUACUGUAGUGCCUGGGACAGGACCAGCCCUCCGCACACACUGUCACUAGCCCUCACAGCACGGAUAUCCUGGUUUUACAGACAAGGACACCAAAGCACAGAACUCACAGGGCUCCUGAGCAGCAGGCCCCCUCAGGCCAUGUACCUCAUACCACACUCCCAGAGGAUCCAGGAUGCAGUCAGUGACAGCUGCCACCUGUCCUGUCAGAGGUCAGCCUUGAAAGUAGGUGGCCACCAACACUUUUCAGUGUGUCCUUUCUCUGCCUCCCCUCACAAGGACCUCCCUCAGUAUUUCCAGAACCGCCGAAAGCAUUGUGCCCACACAAGUAUCUCUAUUUGUGGUGUGCCUCUAUCCUGGCUCUUGGUGCCAGUGGCUUUCUAGAAGGUGCCUGAGAUGGGUGACAGUGGACAGAAAGACUACAUCUGGAAGUUUAAUGAAAAGCUUUCUCAAGAGAUGACCUCUCCCCAAACUUGGAUAAAGAAAAUUUGAGACUCCAAAGGAAGUCAGUUACCCAUGAGGAAUUUGUAUACGCACUCUGAAAACAGGUCUGCCGGCACACCUCCCUCCCCAACUCUCCCUUUCCCUGACUUCCCUUUUUUGAUCUUCUCCUGUUCUCCUAGCUUUCUGAAUGGUUUCAGGGAGCUGUGGAGUUGCACAAGCGAGGUCCUGAACUUAUUGUCUGUAUGGUCACAGCCUAGAAGUCCACACGCCCACCUCAUGGCAAUCACAGCUUCUGCCUGGGGCCCGCCCUCCACCCCAUCACAGGCCACGACCUUGCCAUCUUAUAGUAAACAGCAGCUUCCUUCGUCCCCCUUCCCUUCACAUGCCCAACGCCAUCUCACUUUCCAAUCCACUCUUCUCCACAAAGUUCUCCAAACUGUCAAUACAGGCUCCUUGAAUAUCUUUUCAAGCACCUGCUUCCUCUUUCACUCCAGGUUUAACCAGUGUUUUUCUGCUCCUUCUCUUGCCUUGGAAAAAAAACUCUUCACUUCGCAAGAUAAAAACACUCCCUACACAUCUAGUCAUGGCCUCUGCCUGGUGGAUUAUUCUGUUUGCCCUCCAGCUUCCUUUCUCCCCCAUCUCCGCCCUGCUCUACAUCCUGCAAGGGGGCACAGUACGGACCCCAAGAGGCUCAGGGCUCCUGGCUUCUGGCCCUGCCUGGCUGGGAAGAGGUAGGAAGAGAAGGGGGAGGUAGGAUGUGCUGAGUUCCAACCCCGCAAUCACUGGGGCUGGUUGAGAUGGUCUGCCAGUGGCCACGCUCCCUGUGGACAACCUAAACAGCCACUUUCCCCAGGUCUCAGCAACUGCUUCCUCCUCAGGCCUGAGAAAGUAACAGCUCUUGCUGGUCCAGGAGACGCUACUUUCUCACUGGCAGCCCCCACCCCUGCUCACCCUUUGUAAACACUCCCAAUUCUGUUCUGUGGUCAACCUGACGUCAUGAAGCCCCGACUUCUAAGUCCUCUUCUGCAGAUCGAAGAAGCUGGAAGCUUCUUUCUGCAACCUCCUUUCCAGCAUGGAUGCAAGGAGAAGCACAAGAGAGGUUUGGAAGACAGAAGAAAAAGGAGAGACUGAUAUCCUGAAAGGUAGCUCAAGCAGCAGACGCAGAUGCUUGGUGGCUUCACUGUGAGCUCAUCACUGUGGUACCGCAGCCAGAGACGGUCAGGCACAGCUUCCCUGACCUUCUCAACCCCUGUUCUUCAGACAGUUGGACAAACCCUGAAUUCCUCUAUCAAAACUCUUCAUACCUGAAAUGGAACGUUUCCCUUCUCCUGAAUGAUACAAUUAAAACCUCAAAUUACCCAGUCUGAGUGUGCCAUCUGUUUCCUACAGGACCCUGACUAAUACAGCUCUUCUCUUAUUCCUAGGAUUUCAGCGUAGAAUUAUCAUCACUUGGGGAGCGAGAGACUUCUAUUUCAUGCAAUAUGGCAUACCAGAGGGACUAAAAAAACAAAAUACCUAGAAAUGUCAGAAAAAAUGCACAGCCAGGCUACAAGUAUGAAAUGUCCAGGGUUCAAAACUGAACGGGGGGCAGCCUGGGUGGCUCAACGGUUUGGUGCUGUCUUCAGCCCAGGGUGUGAUCCUGGAGACCCCAGAUCGAGUCCCACGUUGGGCUCCCUGCAUGGAGCCUGCUUCUCCCUCUGCCUGUGU